rnacentral:misc_RNA from 1 species
GUGGGUGAUUAUUGAGUGAGAAAUAAAAAAACAGGAUCUGUCGACAUCCGCCAGACCCCGCAGUAUACACAGCAAUAUUUCCGUAACGUGUUCCCGCCGCUCAUUCCCCCGUGCAGGUAAUACAGUUAUAGCGAAUCUGAGAAUAAAUACCAGUACUUUUGGGUGAUAUAUUUCA